rnacentral:rRNA from 1 species
GACGAACGCUGGCGGCGUGCUUAACACAUGCAAGUCGAACGAUGAAGCCUUUCGGGGUGGAUUAGUGGCGAACGGGUGAGUAACACGUGGGCAAUCUGCCCUGUACUUUGGGAUAAGCCUUGGAAACGAGGUCUAAUACCGGAUAUGACUGGCCUUGCAUGGGGGUUGGUUGAAAGUUCUGGCGGUACAGGAUGAGCCCGCGGCCUAUCAGCUUGUUGGUGGGGUAAUGGCCUACCAAGGCGACGACGGGUAGCCGGCCUGAGAGGGCGACCGGCCACACU